AGUGAACGCUGGCGGUAGGCCCAACACAUGCAAGUCGAACGGCAGCACAGUAAGAGCUUGCUCUUACGGGUGGCGAGUGGCGGACGGGUGAGGAAUACAUCGGAAUCUACUUUUUCGUGGGGGAUAACGUAGGGAAACUUACGCUAAUACCGCAUACGACCUACGGGUGAAAGCAGGGGAUCUUCGGACCUUGCGCGAUUGAAUGAGCCGAUGUCGGAUUAGCUAGUUGGCGGGGUAAAGGCCCACCAAGGCGACGAUCCGUAGCUGGUCUGAGAGGAUGAUCAGCCACACUGGAACUGAGACACGGUCCAGACUCCUACGGGAGGCAGCUGUGGGGAAUAUUGGACAAUGGGCGCAAGCCUGAUCCAGCCAUACCGCGUGGGUGAAGAAGGCCUUCGGGUUGUAAAGCCCUUUUGUUGGGAAAGAAAAGCAGCAGGUUAAUACCCCGCUGUUCUGACGGUACCCAAAGAAUAAGCACCGGCUAACUUCGUG
rnacentral:rRNA from 1 species